rnacentral:lncRNA from 1 species
UUUUCCAGAAUGAGUAAUCCCAACUUUUAAAAUUAUAUGGAUGCUGUCUGUUGUGCUAACGUCCAGAGAUAAAGUGAUCUAAAUAUUAAGGCCUAAUUUCUGUGGGACUUAUUGGGGAUUGUCCUGAAAUGAACAGGCUUCCCUGGUGUCAGUAACUCCUGGAAGAAAGGCUACCUUUCCAUGAAUACAAAGAUUUAGAUACACUUUCUCAUUGUU